rnacentral:tRNA from 1 species
GUGGUAAUAGCUCAGUGGAAGAGUACCUGCCUAGCAUACAGGAGGCCUGGGCUCAAUCCCCAGGACCACC